rnacentral:rRNA from 1 species
UACGGAGGGAGCUAGCGUUGUUCGGAAUUACUGGGCGUAAAGCGCACAUAGGCGGCUUUGUAAGUUAGAGGUGAAAGCCCGGGGCUCAACUCCGGAACUGCCUUUAAGACUGCAUCGCUUGAAUCCAGGAGAGGUGAGUGGAAUUCCGAGUGUAGAGGUGAAAUUCGUAGAUAUUCGGAAGAACACCAGUGGCGAAGGCGGCUCACUGGACUGGUAUUGACGCUGAGGUGCGAAAGCGUGGGGAGCAAACAGG